AUGAACAAGACUGGAGAGCAUUCUGAGAAGUCUACCCGCCCAUCAGAGAUCGACUGGGUCCAAGCUGGCGCCGUCUCUCCAGUUGUGAGGAAACAAGGCGGUUGUGGCUGUUGUUGGGCCAUGGCUACGACAGCAUCAGUCGAAGCAGGACACUAUCUGCAGACCUUGCAAUCGAUCUCCCUAUCGGUUCAAGAGCUUAUCGACUGCAACACGGAGAACAACGGUUGCAACGGUGGCUACUCUCAACAUUCCUUCAAGUACAUACGGGAUAAUGGACUCUCUAGCGAAUCAUCAUACCCAUACAUGGCCAAGAGAAGUGCUUCGGGUUGCCAGAGGGACAAGACGGUAGCAGCAGCAACACGUAUAUUAGGCUUUUGGUGCGUCGACUCGACCGAGGAUGCUCUCGAGGAAGCAGUAGCAAAGCGGCCCGUGGUUGUCUGUCUACAGGGUACGCCUGAUCUCUUAAACUACAAAGGAGGCAUCAUGGAGUGCGAAGCUCUACCUGAUGGUAGCGCAACUACAUGGCAUGCUGUCCUGAUUGUCGGUUAUGGUACGGAUCCUGAUGGCGUUAAGUAUUGGCGCUUCAAGAACUCGUGGGGAAAGGAUUGGGGAGAGGGGGGAUUUGGGAGGAUCCGUAGGCACGUUGCUGACGAGCGAGGUGCCUUGGGUAUGUUUGUGUAUGGAGGACUAUAUCCAGUGAUUGACUAA
rnacentral:rRNA from 1 species